GAUGAACGCUGGCGGCGUGCCUAAUACAUGCAAGUCGAGCGAAUGGAUUAAGAGCUUGCUCUUAUGAAGUUAGCGGCGGACGGGUGAGUAACACGUGGGUAACCUGCCCAUAGACUGGGAUAACUCCGGGAAACCGGGGCUAAUACCGGAUAACAUUUUGAACCGCAUGGAUCGAAAUGGAAAGGCGGCUUCGGCUGUCACUUAGGGAUGGACCCGCGUCGCAUUAGCUAGUUGGUGAGGUAACGGCUCACCAAGGCAACGAUGCGUAGCCGACCUGGGAGGGUGAUCGGCCACACUGGGACUGAGACACGGCCCAGACUCCUACGGGAGGCAGCGGUAGGGAAUCUUCCGCAAUGGACGAAAGUCUGACGGAGCAACGCCGCGUGAGUGAUGAAGGCUUUCGGGUCGUAAAACUCUGUUGUUAGGGAAGAACAAGUGCUAGUUGAAUAAGCUGACACCUUGACGGUACCUAACCAGAAAGCCACGGCUAACUACGUGCCAGCCGCCGCGGUAA
rnacentral:rRNA from 1 species